UUUCUCCUUGACCUCCUCGAGACCUUCAACGGCGAGAAGGGGGUCGACACCCUGGGCAUCCCGUUGCUGGACUCAAUCCGCAUCCAGGAAAUCUGGAAAGAGCAGAGGCGCCACCUCCACUGCAUACAGGACCCACCCGGUGUACAGCUGUACACCGAGACUGGCAAAAUCACCAAGGGCAGCGUGAUUUUGCCGGUUUAUCGCUGCGCACCGGGCUCCACAUCCUUGGAGUCAUUCCACCUCCACCGGUUCAUCCCAGGUAAUUGUCAUUGUGGAACUUAAUGUUUAAUGUUAACAGCAACAGGUCUCCCAACCUAAUCAUGUAUUGUUCUCUCAGGUACCAGGGCAAAUGCAAUGCAUUUCCAGGCAUUCCUGUUGGAUGGACUGGUGAGGUGGAACGAGGACCGUGCGCAGACAGCAGUGGAGGGAAAGAACAGGCAGCCCCUGCUCUCCUACAGUGGCCACCUGCAGCACAUCCUUAACCUUAGCAGCCAAAAAGUGCUUGGCAAGGAACAGGGUAAGGACUACACCAAGCCUAGCAAGUACACGGGGGAACUCCUCGGAGUGGAGUACCUGUACUCGCAGACUGGCAGAGUGCUGCAGGAUGUCAGCGCGGACCCUGACCUUCCGGAAGAGGCAGCCGCCGUUGUGCAGCUCGACGAGGAGGACGAGGGCUUUCAGGAGGAUGUGGACCAGACAGUCCACAUCUCUCAUGUCACUCCCAUGAUCGCCCCGUCCUCCAGCUCAGCGGCACCUCUGUCAGGGGAACCCGCUGACACACUCAGGUCUGGGCCAUCCAGUCCCACCGCCCCUGAAGACGGAAGCUCUCCUGAGGCCCCUGAUCAACACGGUUCUCCUCACCCUGAACACUCCUCUGAUUCAGAGGGGGAGACUCAAGGCCCUGAUGCAAUGCCGGGCUACCAGCAUGUCCGCAGGCUUGCCAGGGCCUUGGUGGAGGUGAGGAGCCGUCAGGGGCUGUCGGACCGCAGGGUAGACGGUCUGGUGGCGCUGUGGCUGGCGCUGCCAGACUUUGACAAGCAACGUUUGAUCUACCCUGCCCGACACCAGGAGAGGAUCGUUCAAGGGCGGUUCAAGGCAUCGAAGGGGAAGUCGUCCAUUAUCCUAGGAAAAGACUCUCUCCAACGUUGCCUUCUCGGACUCAACUCGGGCCCUGCCAAUUGGCCGGGCACCAGCCGUUUGGUGGAGGCAAUUUGCAGUCAGCUCUGCCAAAUCCAUCCCAGCGCCACGCAGUCUGCCGGCGUCAAAAAGAGCAGGUGGGCGCUCAUUCUGGCUGACUACGUGGCCAUCAGGGAGGCAGUGCUGAACAGCCCGAGGUUGAUGGCCCAGACCAACCUUCAGCUCUUUGAGCUGAAUCAAAGGACCAUCAGUCAGUGGUACUCUCGGCGUCAGAAGGAGAGGGAGAGGAUGGUGCUGCAGCAGGGAUUGGGGCUCGCUGUUGCCCCCAGCGUCACCGCCCAGCCCCUCCCUGAAGCCAAGCCCCUCCACUACCAGCGGGAGGGAAUCCAGGCACCCUUCCC
rnacentral:lncRNA from 1 species